UACGUAGGUGGCAAGCGUUGUCCGGAUUUACUGGGCGUAAAGGGCGUGCAGGCGGUCUGUUAAGUUCAGGGUGAAAGCUCCCGGCUCAACUGGGAGAGGUCCUUGGAUACUGGCAGACUUGAGGGAGGUAGAGGAGAGUGGAAUUCCCGGUGUAGUGGUGAUAUGCGUAGAUAUCGGGAGGAACACCAGUGGCGAAGGCGGCUCUCUGGGCCUUUCCUGACGCUGAGACGCGAAAGCGUGGGGAGCGAACCAG
rnacentral:rRNA from 1 species